rnacentral:rRNA from 1 species
AAGGGGUGACGGCGUACCUUUUGUAUAAUGGGUCAGCGACUUACGUUCAGUAGCAAGCUUAACCGUAUAGGGCAGGCGUAGCGAAAGCGAGUCCGAAUAGGGCGUUCAGUUGCUGGGCGUAGACCCGAAACCAGGUGAUCUAUCCAUGGCCAGGAUGAAGGUGCGGUAACACGUACUGGAGGUCCGAACCCACUAACGUUGAAAAGUUAGGGGAUGAGCUGUGGAUAGGGGUGAAAGGCUAAACAAACCUGGAAAUAGCUGGUUCUCUCCGAAAACUAUUUAGGUAGUGCCUCGUGUCUCACCUUCGGGGGUAGAGCACUGUCAUGGUUGGGGGGUCUAUUGCAGAUUACCCCGCCAUAGCAAACUCCGAAUACCGAAGAGUGCAAUCACGGGAGACAGACAUCGGGUGCUAACGUCCGGUGUCAAGAGGGAAACAACCCAGACCGCCAGCUAAGGUCCCCAAAUAUAGCUAAGUGGGAAACGAAGUGGGAAGGCUAAAACAGUCAGGAGGUUGGCUUAGAAGCAGCCACCCUUUAAAGAAAGCGUAAUAGCUCACUGAUCGAGUCGUCCUGCGCGGAAGAUGUAACGGGGCUAAGCUAUAUACCGAAGCUGCGGAUGCGUGCUUGCACGCAUGGUAGGAGAGCGUUCCGUAAGCCUGCGAAGGUGCCUUGUAAAGGGUGCUGGAGGUAUCGGAAGUGCGAAUGCUGACAUGAGUAGCGAUAAAGGGGGUGAAAGGCCCCCUCGCCGUAAGCCCAAGGUUUCCUACGCAACGUUCAUCGGCGUAGGGUGAGUCGGCCCCUAAGGCGAGGCAGAAAUGCGUAGCUGAUGGGAAGCAGGUCAAUAUUCCUGCACCAUUGUUAGAUGCGAUGGGGGGACGGAUCGCGGAAGGUUGUCCGGGUGUUGGAAGUCCCGGUCGCUGCAUUGGAGAAGGCGCUUAGGCAAAUCCGGGCGCGUAAUUCAAGGGUGUGGCGCGAGCUCCUUAGGGAGCGAAGCAAUUGGAAGUGGUUCCAAGAAAAGCCUCUAAGCUUCAGUCUAACGAUGACCGUACCGCAAACCGACACAGGUGGGCGAGAUGAGUAUUCUAAGGCGCUUGAGAGAACUCGGGAGAA